AUGGCGCUGGGCCCGCUCAAACGGCGGGGCGCGUGCAAGUGGCGAGUCCGAACGUCCCGCCCCGACUUUCCCAGCGUGAAAGUUGUGCCUCGCUCGUUCUCGAGCCGGCAGCCCGUGGCAUCGGCUCCUGCGUCGGGCUUGGCGUCCUGACCCGGAUGAGGGUGGGAAGGGCGGGCCGGUUCAGCUCCACAGCUGAGCGUCCUCUGCUCUCGGAUGCGCUCUCCUCCUCUGGCAGUUUUGAUUGAAGAGGACUAAUGCGAAGGCGUCAGAGAUCCGAAGGCGAAACAGUUCAUCUCGGGAGGAAGCAGCCGAGUAGCCUUGAAGCGUGAGAAGCGGCUGGAAUUCCACAUGGGUCCAUUGAUGAGAAUGUGCUGAUUAGUCUUUUUGAGCAGGACAUAGCCAUUAUUCCAGAUAUAUUGAUGUUUGUGCGUCAGAGGAUACGAACUUUCCGGCUCGUCAAAAGCAUACAAAGUCAGAAACCAUCCCAGCCAAGAGGAACCUAAGGAGAGCUGAGGAUGAAAGGUAUGGUGGUCAUCUGGACAGAAUUCUGGAACAGAAAAGGACACGGGGUUAAACAAGGGAAAUUUGAGCAAUGUAUGAAUGCUGGUUCAUCAGUUGUAACAAAUGUGCUUUGCUAGCACACUGUGUUAUUAUGGGCACUCUGUACUAUCCUCUCAAUUUUCCUGUAAAUCUAAAACUAUUCCCCAAAAAAGUGUAUUAUACAUUAAGAAAUCAAAAAUCUAACUCAGAUCCCACUUUAUAAAGUGUUAAACCAAGACUCUCCAAAGCAAUGAAGAAUGUCCAGUCAUGUUGUUCUUAUUUUGUACAUCAAUUUUAAAAAUUGUAUUUAAAUAUUAAUGUUUUCAUAUUUUAAUGUUUAUUGUAUGUUUCUUAUAUACAUAACACAUACAUCCAUACAGAAGUACAUUGUGAGCUUUAAGACAUGCUUGCUGGAGGUAAAUUUGUUACUACUGACAUUAUAGAACUUAUUAGAGAGCUGUGUUAAACCAGUAAGUCAAAACUAGAGUUUCUUAGAGGCAGUCAUGAGAAGAAAGCUCAUGAACUAUGAUAUAAUUAAAACAAUUUACCUGUAUUUUGCUAAGAUGAAUAACUAAUGACAUCUAAAAACUAUAAUCUUAGGGGGCAGGUAUUUGGCCUGGUGGUUGACACCCUUUGGGAUACUUGCAUCCCAUGUUGGACUGCCUUGGUUUGAGUCCCAGCCCUGUUCCUAAUGUCAGCUUGCUGCUAAUGCAUACCCUGGGAGGCAGGAGGUGAUGGCUCAAGUACUUGGGGUCUUGUCCAAGUCCACAUGGAAUACUGGAUUAAGUUUCCAGCUCCAGGCUUCAGCUUGGCCCAUCCCUGGCUAUUGCAAGCAUUUGGGGAGUGAACCAGCAGAUGGAAGAUUGCUCGCUCUCUCUCGCCCUCUCUGUCUCUCUCUCUCUCUCUGUCUCAGUUAAAUGAAUAAAUAUUUUUAAAAGUAACUAUAAGCUUAGGUAAAAUCCUACAUAAUAACAUUGCUAAAAAAUAAUUCCAGUUUUCAAUUUCCUCCUAGAAUCAAAUAUUGGGUAACACUGAAUAACUGAUAGUGAUAUGAUGGCAUUAUAAUCUGGUAACUUAUACUUUGAAUCAAAACAUCAAUUUCAGUGAUCUUGCCUAGAAUAACUAAUAUGUAAAAGAUUUCAAGUUCCUUUGUGUUGAACACUGCAACCCUCACUUGUAAAGACUGUUCGUGAAUACUGCUGAGCUUGAUCUUUUGGUGUUGUAAUUCUCUUUAAGGAACUUAGAAUAAGUCGGACACAUUGCCCUCCCUUCCAAAUACCAUACACAUAUUUUAUAGCUAAGUCAAACCACCCUAUAUUUUAAUCCUAUGGAAUUCCCCAAUGUCAGAGCAAUAAAAAAAUAGAUUUCAAGUGUAUUCUGUAGGUCAAUUUCAAGCAUUCACAGGAAAGGUACUUUUUCAUUUAUUAAUUCUACUUUCAUAAGUUCACGAAGUGUAUCCAAGCUUGAAAGGAAGUGUUAGUUUCACUUAGAAAGUAACUACUCCAGGAAUACCCAAGCAUUAAUUUGAAAGACUCCUUUUUUGCAAUAUGCCUUUUGAUUAUGGAAUGCUCAUUAAUUAAAAAAAGAAUGAUGCUGGGGGUAGGAACUGACUGUGCCUUCAGUUCUGAUACUGAAAGAAAUAACUAUAGAGAAAAAAUAGGGGAAAUAUUUAUAGCCCAAUAGAAAAAAUAUCUUAUAGUAGUGUUAGUUUAUCUGGAAAGCCCCAAAACUUUCCCCAAGAGUUUUUAUUGGGAGAAGUAUGGGUCAUAAUGAAAUUUAUUUUAUUAUGAAAAUGAAACCAUUUUGUACAUAAGGAGACGAGAGAGAAUGAUGCUGUUAUAAUUUACAGACUGAAAGUUCUGGAAAAUAUUAAGCCAGUUAUUUGCCUCCAGCUAAACAGAAUUUCAUCCUAAAGACAUUAUCCAGGCAGAUGGUAAUCUUAAUUUAUUUGGAGAGCUUCUACACUGGAAUUCCAAACCAUUAGUUCCUUAGUGUCUGCAACAGACUGAGUGUGUCCUCCAACCCUCCAAAUUCAUAUGUUGAUUUCUUUUUUUAUUUUAUCUUUCUUUUAUUUUUGACAGGCAGAGUGGACAGUGAGAGAGAGAGAGAGACAGAGAGAAAGGUCUUCCUUUUGCUGUUGGUUCACCCUCCAAUGGCCGCUGUGGCCGGCGCGCUGCAGCCGGCGCACUGCGCUGAUCUGAAGGCAGGAGCCAGGUGCUUCUCCUGGUCUCCCAUGUGGGUGCAGGGCCCAAGGACUUGGGCCAUCCUCCACUGCCCUCCCGAGCCACAGCAGAGAGCUGGCCUGGAAGAGGGGCAACCGGGACAGAAUCCGGCGCCCCGACCGGGACUAGAACCCGGUGUGCCGGCGCGGCAAGGCGGAGGAUUAGCCUAGUGAGCCACGGCGCCGGCUCAUAUGUUGAUUUCUAAUCCCAAUAGGACUGUAUCUGAAGAUAGGGACUAGGAGGAAGUGACCAAGGUUAAACAAGGCCGUAGGGUAUGGUCCUAAUCCAAUGAGAAUGCCUGCACCAGAAAUUGAGUCAACUGGCACCCUGAUCUUACAUUAUCAAGAGGGAAAAUAAAUAACUCCUGUUUAAGCACCUAGUCCUCAGUAUAUUGUUAUGGCAGCCACAGUAGACUAAGACAGUAUCAUACAAUACUUCCCUACCUUUACCUUUUUUUUUUUUUUACAGGCAGAGUGGACAGUGAGAGAGAGAGACAGAGAGAAAGGUCUUUUUCCAUUGGUUCACCCUCCAGCCAGCGCACUGCACUGAUCCAAAGCCAGGAGCCAGGUGCCCCUCCUGGUCUCCCAUGCAGGUGCAGGGCCCAAGGACCUGGGCCAUCCUCCACUGCACUCCCGGGCCACAGCAGAGAGCUGGACUGGAAGAGGGGCAACUGGGACAGAAUCCGGCACCCCGACCGGGACUAGAACCCGGGGUGCUGGUGCUGCAGGCAGAGGAUUAGCCUGUUGAGCCCAGGC